GGGAUGCUGCUUAUCACAUUCUUCCCAUCUGAAUUUCUUCCUGAAUUUGGGAAGCUCUGAAUUACCUGAUCUUGUUUCCAGAGUAGCAUCAAUGUGUUAGCAGUCCACCAUUUUUCUGUUUUUGUUCAUUCUUUUUUCUUUUUAAUUUCUCAUCUUAAUUCAGACAACAUGCAUGUGUAUUUAACUACUAGUUUCACUUCUCAUCUCUCUCUUCUUACAGGUUACCGAUACAUGCAGCACUGAUUAAAUCCAUUGCUGAGGAGGGGCUAUAGCUUGGUGGAGUGAAGGAUGUGUGCUUUGCAUGCAGAAAGCUCCAGGUAGGACUAGCAAACUAAGCAAAGACUCUUAUCUGAAAUCCUGGAGAGUCACUGCCAGUCAGAGUAGAUACAACUGAGCUGGACCAAUGGUUUGAAUUCAUAUAAGGCAGCUUUUUAUGUUUAUCUAUCCUGGCACAAAAAGAGUCCUGAUGCAGUUGUAUGAAUCAUGUCAAGGUUCCUUUUUGCAUUCUGAUUUAAUUGAUGUGCAUGUGUUCAUUAGUAACCUGUAAGAAAAAGAAAGAUGCAAACUGAAGCAAAGUGCAUGUGUGCUGAUUCUGAAAUUAAUUUGGGGAAUUGUUCAAGUGAAACUGGAAAGCAGGUAGACAAAGUGAACACAUGGAACAAUAAUUGAUGGAAUUUCCUCCCCAUCAAGCACCUACAGCAGCUGUUUUUAAAAUAUAUAUAUAUAUCUCACAGAGUGGUGCACAAAGCAAUAUAAAACAUUAAACCAAGGAUUAAAUAUCACACACACACACACACACAAAAGGCACAGCAAGGGAAAAAUCCAUUAAAACCAAUUUAAAACCAGUACACUCUAUCAUUAAAAAUUAGAUAAAAUUAAAAUGUUUCAAUGCUAGUUUUAAAAUAACUGCAGCAGGUGCCACAUGUACCUCUAUGGGAAGGAAAUUCCAUCAAUUAUUUUUCUAUAAACAAAUAGUAAAUUAAUAAAGGAACAGAAUGGAAUGGAAGAAAUCAACUGUCUCCUGGGUAGAGCAAAAUUUCCCUUGGAUCCUCUACCAGCUAGCCUUCAAAUCCAUAAGUGAAUCCACUAAGAGUGAAGAUUACUGGCUAAACACCUUCUAUUCAGCCUCCCCUUCAGAGAAGCCUUGAGGAAAGCACUGAAACUCAGAGAAAACACAACUGAAUUUGGAAGAACUUUACAAGUAUGAAAACCAGUCCUCUCCAGCCUCACUCAGUAUGACAAUGGAAAACUUCACAUCUGUAAGAAAUCUCAGUUUAUUGAAGUUCUUGAAGCUGAUAUAACAGUGCUGCAGAAGGAACCAUUAGCAGAUAAUUUGGGGUAGAUAUGUUCCAGCUGCCAUCAAGGUUUUUCGAGCCAAGGCUUCUUUAUGGCUCUCCGAUCUGUAUAUACAGUGAUUUCCAUCCACUUAAGAGGGUCCAGUCUAAAUUCCUUAGGGCCAUCUUUUCAACCCCCUGCUGUGCGUCAAAUGCUAAGUUGCGUUUGGAAGCGGAUUUGUCAAGCUUGGCGUCCUGUGCCUGGACUCAUAUUUUCAACUUUGGGUUGAAAUUGAUUUAUUCCCCUUCUGGCCUAGCUCCCCUAAUUUUUAGGGAUGAACGCCCCUCUGAUUGGAUGUAUCUAAUUACUAAAAAGCUAAAAUCAUAUGGGCUGUCAAUGGAAUAUCUGCUCCCUCUGGGCUAUGAUAACGCUAUGGUGAUCCUUAAGAGGCAUAUUAUUGAUAUGGAACACCAGAAAGAUUUAAGCAAGGCACCAAGCCUCACAAGACUUGGCACUACCAAGCCCUCACAAAAAGCAGCUAAAUACCUGUAUGACCUGAAAUCCAGCACACAGAACAGCCCUGAUAUUGGCUCCGCUGGAUGUGCUGCCCUCUGCAGUACUAGAGGGUAGGUAUAGGAGAGUUCCCUAUUUGGAGAGCCUGUGCUCUUGUGGAAGUGGGAAUAUUGAGACGGUUGGCCAUGUGCUUCUAUAUUGUUCUUUCUAUUGUGAGCUGCUUUCCAAAUAUAUUGCUCCUCUCAUUCGUAGAUACCCUGACAAUUUGGGUGGAUUUUAUAUAAACUUAUUUCUUUCUGAUAAACACACUUAUGUCUCGCAUUCAGUAGCCAAAUUCUGUACAGCUGCAAUUGAAAUUCGCUCAUGGUGUGUCAGAAAUGGUCAAUUUUAAUCGUCCCUCCUUUUUCUUUUUAAUUUUGUUUUAUCCUAUAUAUUUUUAUCUCAAUCUUCUAUGUAACUGAUUUUUUGUAUGUAUAUGCAUGCAUGUAUUUAUACUGAUAUCUACCCUCAGGGUAGAUUUAUUUGAUCUGUAUUUUAUCAAAG